UCGGAAAGUUGACAAAACGAAAGUCCUAGAUGCAAACGAUACGGAGGGAAUGUAAUAGCACACGGUGAAGUCACAAGAAAGUGACGGGGGUUGUCUCACGUGCUUAGUGCAUAGAGGUUGGUUAGAAAAUGGACCAGGUGUGUCAUUCAAAGGAGUAUGGUAAGUGGAUGAUGUGUGGAAUUAUGGAUUUGUAAGUAUGUUUUGGUGUGAAUGAAAGCAUAGUAUUUAAAUCGUGUUUUCAUCAUAAAUUAUGUAUCAGGUUUUGGCUUGAGGCUUCAAGUUCAUGUUAAAAAUCUUUUCAGGUAAAUCACCUUUAACUAUAAAAAUGAAUUUCAGGUACCGAGGGUUAUCCUGAAUCGUGAGGCAGUGGUUGUCUGUAGUGUAAUUUUGUUUUGGGAUAAACAUGUGAGGGAUAUUUUGAUAAUUAUAUUAUUCUUUUGGCCCGGUGUGGGCAUUGUCCAUGGGAUAUCAUUGUUUUGUAUGAUAGCUCAUGGAGAGCAUGGUCCACGGGAGGAAUUAGUUGUCGUACUCCUGACAUCAUGAUUGUAUAUUAUUAUGUUUAUUUAGUUUGACUUUUUCGCAUUUGAUUGUUUGCUUACGUAUCCGGAUUUUGGUUUGACGGUGCAUGACACAUGGUCUCAAGCUUUAGUUCGAAUACCUAUGAGCCAUGGGGUGGUUAGACCACAUUUAGUUUAAUGUCUAAGUAUUGUGAGGGGGUUACGUUAAUGUGUUUUCUAUGUUAUAGGGAUAACAUGAACAUACAAUGCAAUAUGUUAUUGAUUGCUUAUGUAUGCUGUUAUGAUUUUAAAUCAUAAGUGAAUAUGAAUUAUCUUAUUAUUUUCUUGUGGUAUUGUUGUAGCACAUGCCAUCAACUCAAUGCGAGAGGUCGCGCAAAUCACUUACGGGAGCUCGUGGGGCUCGUGAGCUCGUGGAGCUCGGCGGAGCUCGUAGCAUCAUGACCGAGGAAGUAUGAUGGGAAUCACCCAGUGUCUGUGAUGGGAGUGGGGCAAGUGCUCCUUGAGGGAAUGCGGAGGGUGUUCCACCUACAGUUUUGGAUGGCGCCGAAUUUAUGCAAGGAGUGUUCACCGCCAUUGACACAGUGGUGAGAAACACUGUGCAAACAUGCAAAUGCAUUUAGAACGGCGGAAGUAGGGCUACCAUGGCCAUGAAGGCCUUUCUUCAACUACGUCCCACCAAUGUUCAAGGGAUAACCGGAUUCGUUGGUUGCGGAAUUGGCUUGAACAAUCCCCAGAGGCCCCCCGUUGGAUACCAAUCUUGGUGACUGAGGAAGACUUGAGGUGUUGUUGCAUCCUAUCAACUGUAGGGGGAUGCCCUCCAAUGGUGGAAGACCGGGAGGAAGUGGUAGCAAAGAAGUGGAUCUUUCCAGAAGGUUUUUCCCUGAAUCAUUAUUUUACGGAUAACUGCUAAGGAGGCCUUGAGAAUGGAAUUUAUUAAUUUGGUUCGAGGGAGCAUGACUGUGGCUUAAUAGAACCCAGGUUGAACUAGCUUGCAAGGUUUGCCAAAGCAUUUGUUCAACGGAAAACAAAAGGAGGAGAAAGCAAAACAGUUUAUGCCGGGGGCUUAGGCCGUCCAUAUGAAAAUAUUGAAAGAAAAUGUGAUGCAAAGUUUACUCGACGAUGUUUAGCGCGGACGUGGCCAUCGAGGAGGCUUGAAUUAGACUAGAAAGAUUCAAAAUCCUAAGUCACAACAGCGUGAGGGACUAGCAAUCAGUCCAUGAGGGGCGUUCUUCUAAGAAGUCAAGGAAUUCUAACUACCUACUGGCAACAACAGCAAUAUCCUACGAGGUCUUUAACCCUCCACAUCUGUUAACAUCGGGCCAAACAUCUCGGGAGGGCCGAUUUAUUUUGGUUGUUCAUCAACCGGUCUCGUGUAAGUGGACUCCCACUGAGGGUCAGCAUUGGCAGUCGCAGUAGAGGGACAAUCUCACAUCCCGGCAAGUGGACAAUCACUAUCCGGGGGCCACCUACCUGCUUUCGGGGUGGUCAAAUUGGUCUAUCAGUUGACGUGCACGCAAGGGAGAACAGAUCAGGAAGCUACGUGGAUCGCAAUAACUCUAUUCGUUCAGUCCGGGCCUCGGGGCUACUCCAUCAAUUACAUCAGCACAUACUUCUAUCAGUCCAUACCACAAACUGUAUGCUCAGCAAGGUCAGAGGACGCGGGAACGGGUUUUACGCUAUAACAUUCACAGCGGUACCGUCUGGGACAACAGGACAUCGGACAAUAAUUGGAUACCUCUGUUGUACGAGGUACUUUACCUUAUGUUUAAUUCGUGGGCUCGUGUUCUUAUCGACAUGGGAGCAUCACAUCAUUCAUCUUAUCAUCUUUUGCUUUGGCAUUGGGGUUAGAGAUUAGGUGUUAGAUUCAGUGGCUUAGUAGACACUCCAGUUGGGGGUAGAUCAACUUUUGAAGAGCGUUUUGUAGAUCCUGUGGGUGAGAUCGCGGAUCGACAUUUCGUGUUUAACUUUAUUUUAUUAGACAUUACUUUCGUUUGACGUACUCCUUGGUAAUGGAUUGGGAUUUUACCGGCUAUCGGGCCAUUAUAGACGUGUCCGACCUCUUGACCGUUUGUAACACCUGAGGGAAUCGUUUUCAAUUUAUGGGAGAUUGAGGUAGUGGUUUUGUCCCUUCGUCUCCUGAUGUGCGUAGCAAGGGGCGUUAAAUUUUCUUUUCUUUUUCUCGUUGAGCUUUGGUCAAUGAGGUUAAGCCUAGUUAGUGUGUCCUUGCUACCGGUUGUUUGUGAGUUUUCGGAUGUCUUUCCUAAGGAUUUGAACAGGAGUUAACCACCCCGCAUAGGGGAUUUGAGUUUCUCCAUUGAUCUUAUAUCGGGCACCGCGCUACUCAGUACCAACCACCUUAUCGUUGUGCACCAUUAGAGUUGCAGGAGUUGAGGUUUCAAAUUCAAGAUUUGUUGGCUAAGGGUUUUUUAUCCGCUAUGCAUCCACCAUGGGGAGCUUCGCUUUAUUUGCUAAGAGAAGAGUGAUAAAUUCUUAUAAUGUGUGUGUAGACUAACUAUCGCACUUGAAUCGUGUGACGAGAAAGAAUAAGUAUCCACUUCCAAGGAUCGAUACUUGUUUGACCACUUGAAAGGUUUGAGCUGUUUCUCGAAAGUUGACUUGAGAUCGGUAUCAUCAAUUGCGAUCCAUGAGGGGGGGGGGGGGGGGGGGGGGACAUUGCGAAAGUGGCUUUUCGCUCACGCUAUGGGCAUUAUGAGUUUCUUGUGAGAGCCGUUUGGUUCUUACGAAUACACCAGCAGCUUUCACAUGGACUUGAUGAAAAUCGUAUCUCAAUCCAUACUUGACCGUUUCGUGGUCCGUGUUCGUGGACGACAUCCUUGAUCUACUCGCCAUCGUUGAUUCACAUGAGGACAUUUGAUGAUAUUGUUGUCAGUCUCCUACAGAGCACCGUUUGUUCGCUAAGUGUUAGCAAGUGCGAAUUUUUGUUACCUGAGGUGAAGUUCUUAGGUCAAGUUUUGUGGUCAGGAGUGGAGUAGCUGUUGAUCAAUCAAAAAUUGAGGCAGUGAUUAAUUGGGACGCCUGAAGACCGGAUUUUGAAAUUCUAGUUUUUUAGUUUAAGGCUGGUUACUCACCAAGAUUUGUAGAGGACUUUUCCACGAUUAGAGGCCCAAUGACUCGACUUACGAGGAAGGAAUUCAUUUUGUUUGGAACGAUGCAUGCGAGCAUUCUUUCAGAACUUAGAAGAGAUUGACUUUGACUCAUUUUUUUAUACCUGAACGAGGGUUGGGGUACCACCGUGACUGUAUACUACUUCACGGAUGGCUUGGGUUGCGUGUGGAUGUAGUUGGAUAACAGUGAUUGCGUAUGGUUCUCGUCAAUUAAAUAAUCACGGACAAAAUUAUCCAACACAUGACUUGGAACUUGCGGCCGUUAUUUUGCUUGGAAGUUGGAGGCAUUCUUGUAUGGAGAGCGGUUUUUGAAGUGUUUUCAGACCAAAGAGGCUUGAAGUACUGUUCAUCACACACACAGAAAGACUUGAACUAAGGCAACCGACUUUUGGAUGGAGUACAAUGGAAGACUAUGACUUCUAUUUACAAUAUCAUCCCCGAAAAGGCCAACAUUGUGGCCGAUGCACUUAGUAGGAAAUCUCUUAGUGGUUUUGUCACGCUUUCAGCCAUGAGUGGCAGAUACUUCAGGAUAUCGGGUGGUAUUAUUUACUUAUAGCGAGAGAAUGAGUUGUUACAUUGUUCACGUGUCUACAGGAAACAUCUUCAUCAAUAGGAUUAUGAGGCACAACAAACAAGAUGUGGAGGCCAAACGAUUUGCGAUCUAUGCUAGAGGUGUAGGGACAACAUGUUGGGUUUUGCAUUCGGAUGGGGGUUUGAUGUAUAAGUCUAGAUGUUCGUACCUUUGUCUUAGUAGAGACAACAUUCUUCUGAGUUUAUUCAUCACGAUUGACAGUUCAUUCCUGGAGGAUAAAGAGUAUCAUGAUUGUGUCGCCAAUUUUGGUGGGAGACGAAUAAAAGAAAGUUGCCUGUGUUUCGAGGUUUGUUUGACUUGUCAGCAAGUAGUAAAAGCCAAAUACCAGAACCACCAAAGGUUUGCUGCAACAUUGCCAGUUGCAGAUGUGGAAGGAAAGGGGAGCACAUCAUAUGGAUUUGUUAAGGAUUUGCCUAGAUCAUUGGAGGGAUUAACGCAUUUGAGUCAUAGUGGAUAGUUUGAUAAAAUCCGCCCCCCAUUUUCUUCCUAUCUGUCUAUCAAAUUUGAUAGAAGAUUCUGGCGUUCUUUAUAUUCGUGAAAUCGUUAGACUUACAUGGGGUUUCCAAUAUAUAUCGUUCGGAUAGAAAGAUCCGCGUUUUACAUCGCGCUUUUGAAGGGGAUGGGGGAUGCAAUCAGCACUAGGAUCGGAUUUGAGGCGUAGCCACGGCAUUUAUCCUCAGACUGGACGGGCAUUCUGAGCUACGAUUGCAGGAUUUUGAGGACAUGCUCAUCGAGCAUGCGUACUUGAUUUUGGGGGGAUCUCGGGGGAAAUUAUCUACAUUUGGUAGAGUUGCAUAUAACAAUAGUUAUCAGGCGAGAGCAUCAGUAUAUGGCACCUUUGACGGCGUUAUACGGAAGACCAUGUGAUAGGUCACCUGUAUGUUGGGACGACGUUGGAGAGGCAAACACUUGCAAAGUACAGAAUGGGUUCGUGACACGACCGAGAAGUAGGUUAGUCUAGUAUUGAUUAGGAAGCGUUACUCGGCGCAGGAGUCAUAAAAAAGUUACGCUGAUAAGGAGGAAAAGUCAUUUUAGAAUUUGUCAUUGGGGAUUCACGUAUUCUUGAGGGUUUCACUAAGAGAGGUUUGAUGCGCUUUGGACAUAGCGGAAAAGCUAUCACCAGGUUCAUUGGACCUUUGAGAUCUUGAUAGUAUUUGGCUGUAGCAUAACGUCUUGCCGUGGCACCGAGUUGGCCAAUGUGCAUAAUGUGUUUCAUGUUUUCAUGUUUCGGAAAGGAAAUUGAUCCCGAUCCUUCACAAGUUUUGAUUGAAGAUAUUGAACGUAAACGAGGAUUUGCCUGUCACGGAUGAGGAGCGGACCGAUUCGUGUGUUGGCUAAAGGGAUCAGUUAUAGAGGAAAGACUAUUCCAUUGGUGAAGGUUUAUGGCUUCUCAUGGCUAGAGGAGUUACGUUGGGAGCGCGUGUAGAGGUGCGCGCAACGUAUUCAGAUCUUUUAAAAAAAAAAGAUAUCGGGUAUGUUGUUUAAUUUCGAGGACGAAAUUUCCUUAAGGUGGGAGGUUGUAAGGGUCAAAAUUUUUCUUUUUUCUUUUAUGACGUAAUUAGAUGCAAGGGUGGAUAUCAUAUAUAUUAUAUAUAUAUGUGUAGGGAUAAUAUAUAUAUAUAUAACUUGGGCAUGUAUAAAAAAGUUGAUGAAAAUUUUUCUGGGGAAGUUGGGUGGGAAGAGAGUGGGCCAAAUUAAUUGGACCCAAUGUUGAUUUAGUUGGGUUUGUGUGAUUGUGCUUAGGCCAAAAAAAAGCCCAAGGCCAAGGAGGCAUUAGUGUCAUUUAUAUUGUGACCUAAAACACAAGUAUUGCCAAUUUAUUUUGCAUUGAUUGUCUUCUUCUUUCUCUUCUCUUUCUCUCUCUAAGUUUAGCCAAAGAGGGGUUGUGAUGUGAGCUUAGAUACAGUGAGUUAGAGUGAAGUUUUGAUAGUGGUUCUUUGGGAGGAAACAUCUACUCGACGAAGAGGGUUACGCUUUGAGUCAAGGACAUUUCGAUCGGAUCAAAUCGGAAAUUUCGAGACUCACCAUGUUGUGGAAGUUUUGCAUUUAUUGGAUUUGAGGUAAAGGGUUUUUUGUGGGGUUUAAUCUUGGAUUUGUUUUAAAUGGCUUAUAUAAAGUCUAUUGAAAAAUAUUUGGGUAUAGCAUCCUAAAUGAAGGAAACUUGGGGUUUAGUUUGAAAAUGAAAGUUCAGAAUUGGCAUGACAUUUGGUUUGUCGACACCUAGGGUGUUGGGUAUCGACACAUUUGAAUUGUUGAAAUUGGUAUUUUGGCUACUGACAUUGGUGUCGACACCUAGGUUUUUGGUCGACACCUUGAACAGUGAAUUUGCGUACUGACAUUUGAUGUCGACACCUUGAAUAGGAAAUUUAAAAAAUUUGCCUACUGACAUUUGGUGUCGAUACUAACUUUUCAGGUGUUGACACCUUGAACGGUAAAAAAAAAAAAUUUGACACAUUUUUAAAUAUUUGUGUUUUUUAUUUUUUUUUUAAAAAUAGGCCGGUUCAAUAAAUAUCGGCCGGUUUAAUCCGGUUCAUAUGCAUUUCUGAUAAAUUAAUUAAAGCGUACCGAUUCAUAGUCCGGUUUCCAGUUUAAUUGGUUCAACCGGCCAAUUCGAUUCGAUUUUUAUAACUAUGUUCCCACACACCCGUGUCAAGGGGUGGAAAAAUAUUUUUCGUUUCAAAAUAUAAAGCGUGUACUAUUUAUACAUCUCUAUCCAUCAUUAGCAUGUAAGAUACAAAAUUUUUCAUUAACAAAUGACAUUUGAUACAAAAUGUUAAAAAAAAAACUUUUCUUAAAACUCUUUUUAUUUAAUUUUAACUUUUCUCAAAACAUUUAAAAAAGUUCAAAACAAAAAAAAAAACUCAGAAAUUAACAGUGAUCAACGGUUUGGUUUGGUUAGGUUUAGUAGCCAAAUGGCCCAAAUCAUAAACCAAACCAUGACCAACGGUUUGACUUUUUUUCUAAAUCAAAACAAACUGAACCGUGAACAUUAAUAAAUUGAACCGAACAUUGAAUCACCAAAUGUGUAUGUAAAAUGAAUACAAAUUCUUGAAUUGACACAUUUUUUCAAAAAAAUUUGAGAAAAUGGGAGAGAGUAAUACAUACCUCUCCUUGUGCUAAAUUUUUUGAUAAAACGAUAAAAUUGUAUUUAUUUUGUAGGGUUUCUAUAUUUUUUUUUUCUCAACACAUCACUAACUUGAUGGAUAUUAUCUUUUUUUCUGAAAAUAACUCUAUUUAUUUAAUUUUUCUAAUAAAAUCAAUUAUUUUUAAUUGAAAAUAUAAAAGCCCCAAGUUUAACGACAAUCUUUUCAUUUCUAUAAAAACAAAUAGCGGGAAGAAUGUUGAUAAUAGUUUAAAAGUAAGAAAGAUCUUUGUUAGUUUAGAAAUUAUAUGAGAGAUGAUUGUAUUUGUCAGAGAUAUCAUUGUAUUUGUCAGAGAUAUCAGUGAAAUUUACCUAAUUUGUUUUUUGUAAAAGUUAGCUUAUUGUUUUUCUUAAAAAAAUAUCAAAGGUGUAAUAUAAAUUUCAAAUAAAUUUUAGUGAAUAAUUUUUUUAAAUUAUACUAAAAUUCAUAUAUUUUAGACUCACUCAAAAAAAUAUAAAAUUUUGAUAAAAUAAUUAAAAACGUUUAUUAAAGACAAAAAUCUCUAAAGCUAAAGCAAAUUAAACAAAUUUAAAAAAAUGGUGUGCCACUUUUAUACUCUUAUUUUCUCUUAUCGAUUUUGUUUCUUUAUUAAGUAAAAUUACUCAAAUAUUCUUUAACUAUUAGGGGUGAUCAACUCUUCGGUUUGGUUAGGUUUAGGAUCAACUCAUAAACUGAACCAUAAACAACGAUUUGACCAUUUUUUUCAACCAAAACGAAUUUAACCGUGAACAUCAGUAAACUAAACCGAACUCUGAAUAACCAAAUGUGUUUGCAAAAUGAACAUACAUUCGUUAAUCAACACCUUUCUUGAAAAAAAAAAUUGAGAAAAUGGGUGAGAGAAAUGCAUUCCCCCUCUCUUCUUAGGCCCUGUUUGGUUACCAAAAUAAAUAUUUUUUUUCACAUUUAUAAAUUAAAAAAGUGACCGAAAGUCAUUCAUGGCGGCUAGCAGCAUUCUCAAAAUAAAAAACGUGUAAUAUUUAUACCUCCCUGUCCAUCAUUAGUAUGUAGUGCAUGAUUAACAAACGACACGUGACACAAGAAGUUAAAAAAGAAAUGGCUUUUCUUAAAACGACUCUAUUUAUUUAAUUUUAACUUUUCUCAAAAUAUUUUAAAAAGUUUAAAACAAAAAAAAACUCAAAAAUUAAAGUAUUUAAAAAUUUUAAAAAAAGUUUUGUGCUAUUUUUAUACUCUUAUUUUUUUAUCGUAUUUUUUUUCUUUAGUAGGUCAAAUUACUUAAAUACUCCUUAUAUUUUAUAUUAAUUUUACUUUUAAGUAUUAAGAGUGAUCAACGGUUAUGUUUGGCUAGGUUUAGGGCUAAAUGUCCCAAAUCAUAAAGUAAACCAUGAACAUUGGUUUGACUUUUUUUCUGAAUCAAAACGAACUGAACCUUGAAUAUUAAUAAAUUGAAUCGAAUUGUGAAUAGCCAAAUGUGUAUGCAAAUUGAAUACACAAUUAACACAUUUUCUCAAAAAAAAUUAAAAAAAUGGGAGAGAGUAAAUAUAUACUCUCCUAGACUAAUUUUUUGAUAAUUAAAAAUUGAUAAAAUUGUUACUUAUUUGUAGGUUUUAAAUUUGUUUCUCAACAUGUACAUUAAAACUGAUGGAUAUUAUAUUUUUUUCUCAAAAUAAUCAUUUUUUAUUUUUCUAAUAAAAAAUUAAUUUAUUUUUAAUUGAAAAUAUGUAAUUAUUUUUAAUUUUUAACAAAAAUCUCAAGAGAUGUCAAUGAAAUUUACCUAAUAAUUUUUUUUAAAAGUUAGCUAAUUGUUUUUCUUAAAGUAAUCCAAAAGGUGUAAUGUAAAUAUCAAAUAAAUUUUAGUAAAUAAUUAUUUUUAAAUUAUAUAAAAAUUCUUAUAUUUUAGACUCACCCGAAAAUAUAUAAAAAUUUUAAUAAAAUAAUUAAAAACAUUCAUUAAAGAUAAAAAAAAAAUCUAAAACUAAAGUGGCUAAAAAAUUUCAAAAAAAGUUGCGUUCUGUUUUUAUACUAUCAUUUUCUCUUAUUGUAUUUUUCUCCUUUAUUAGAUGAAAUUACUAAAAUACUCCUUAUGUUUUGUAUUAAUUUUAUUUUAAUUAUUAAAGGUGAUCACGGUUCGGUUUGAUCAGAUUUAUGGUCAAUUCGUAUAUCAAACCAUGAACAAAUGUUUAGCCUUUUUCUGAACCAAAUCGAAUGAAAUCGUUAACAUUAGUGAACCGAACUAAAUAACCAAAUGUGUAUGCAAAAUGAACACACAUAUCAACACAUUUUCUCAAAACAAAUUGAGAAAAUGGGAAAGAGUAAUACAUUCCUCUCUCUUUUUAGCCCUGUUUGGGUACAAAAAAUUUUUUUUUUUUUUACAUUUAUAGAUUAAAAAUUAAAAUGAACAAAACAACACCACUCUAAAUAAAAGCUCUCUAAUGGCUAUGUAAACUCACCCAAAAAAGAGUUAUCCCAAAAAAACAAAUUUCUUUAACAAAAAACCCCUUCCCAAACCAGACCUUCCCCAGCUCUCUCCUUUCCUUCAAUUUUUCAGAUUUCAAUAUUCAAAACAACUCUAUUUAUUUAAAGCUCUCUAAUGGUUAGCAAAUGACACUUGAUACAAGAAGUUUAAAAAAAAAAAAAACUUUUUUCAAAACAACUCUAUUUAUUUAAUUUUAAAGCUUUGAUUGUGUUCUUUCAGUGAAGUUGGUAAAAGAGUCAAAACAAUUAUCUUAAAAACAAAAAUAACUCUUUGUACUUUAAUAUUUUUUUUUUCACAUUUAUAGAUUAAAAAAAGUGACCGAAAGUCAUUAAUGGCAGCUGGUAGCAUUCUUAAAAUAAAAAACGUGUACUUUUUGUACCUCUCUAAACAUCAUGGAUUCGGGUUUCCUGUGGACAGGGAACUCGGUUGCAGGGUCUUUUUGAUUGCGUUUUGCCCCAAAACGACGUCGUUUACAUCUAACAAUGUAUUACUUCUAAACGACAUCGUUUUAGAGUCAAAUUUUUUUAAACACAAAACGACGUCGCUUUUAAAAAAACGGAGUCAAAAUGACCUGCAACCCUGCAGGGAGCUCCUUCCCCGUAGGGACCCCCAAAUCAUCUCAUGGCAUGUAAGACCUGGUUACAAAUGACUGUGAUCAGAGUUUCAAAAAUCCCAAAACAAACUUUAUUUAUUUAGUUUAAAAGCAUCCAUGGUUAGGGAUGUUAAUUUGCCUCGAAUCCAUUAAUAGGAUAGGUUUGGGGUCUUAAUAAACGGGGGCGGAGAGGUAGUGAGAGAAAAAAAUAAGAACCUGAUUAGUAAUCGGGAUGGAUUUGGGUUUUCACUCUGCCACCCAAAACCGCUCGUUUUACCCUACCCAGAUUUAAUGGUGUAAAAAAUUAAAAUUAUCCCAUUUUUUAGAUAUACCGUAAUAUUCUACAAAUUAUUAUAUAUAUAUAUGUAUAUAUAUCUAUAUAUAUAUAAUUAAAAAGGGGGAGGAAAAAAUUUUCAAACUCUCACAGUUUUGGACGGGGUGGGGAGACAAACCCGCCCCGUUGUCAUUCCUAAUCCAUGUGUUGUCUUUAAGUGAAGUUGAUAAAAGAGUUAAAAAAUAUAUAUAUUAAAAACAAAAAUAACUCUAAAACUAAAGUAGCUAAAUAAUUUAAAAAAGGUUGUGAACUAUUCUUAUACUGUUAUUUUCUCUUAUCAAUUUUUUUUUAUUAAAUAAAAUUACUUGAAUAUUCCUUAUAUUCUACAUUAAUUUCACUUUAACUAUCAGAGGUGAUCAACUGUUCAGUUUGGGUGGGUAAGGUUUAUGGUUAAAUCAUAAACUGACAUAUUGACAGGCAUGGAAUGUGUGGAAACGAACUCGCACCGACAAUAAUUAAUGGCAUCUUGUAGAAUUCUAAAAAAAAAUAUGUUUACUACUUAUAUGAGUCCCUCUCUGUCAUGUGUUGGGCAUGUACUGCGUCGUUGUCAUGUAUAAGAAUAUCACUGGGGGAUUACUUGUUGAGUUCAGCCCAUCUGGUGAGUCCAAAACCCAUCUGGAUGAGUCCAACCAAUCUGGAUGAGGUCCAAUAGUCCGUAGUAACCGAAAUCCAAGCCCGAUUGGAGUUCAUAUGGAUGUCCAUGUGACGGUGAAACUCUCGAGUUAUCUAGAACUCUUUGAGAGUGUUAUCUACUUGAUUUUCCUAAUUAGAAUAUAGGAUUAAUGAUUAGGUCUUCUAUUAGGAAUCGACAACUCCUUCCUUGAAGCUAGUAAAAGGAUGGUAAGGUACUUAGAUUUUCUAGUGCGUUGUGUUGUGGGCUAAGAGCGGAGUGAGUGUGUGAGGUUAGGUUGAGAGGCAAGAUAGAGAGGAGAUUGUGAGAGAGGGUGUGAGUUUGAGCGAUCGGAGUCUCAUCCGUUGUCCCCAUCCCGUUGUAAUCCAUUCGUUUGAUAGGUGGAUUGGUGAUUUAUUCUCCGUUGUGGCCAGUAGGAUGUUGGUCGAACCACGUUAAAUCUUUGCUUGUCUUUUGUGUUGGUGUGAUUGAAUAUUAGUUUGAGCGCAACAAUUGUUAUCAGAGCCUAGGUGGAGGCGAUCGGAGCCCAGGUCGAAAUUCGGGUGUUCGGAAAAGUGCUCAAAAUUAAUUUUUUUUGAUUGCAUCAGGUUUUUUUUUUUGUUCCUCUCGUAGUACGGAACUCCAGCAACCCAAACCGGUCGGAAACGGAGUUCCGGAAGCGGCCCUAACGGCCGUUUGAAGAUCGCGCGAAGUGAGAUCAGUCUCAGCCACGCGCAAAGGAGGUCCCACGCGCUGUCACGCGCAAGGGGGAGGACCCACGCUGCCGCACACUUCAGGAGAGGUCCCCAGUGGGGGAGUGCAAGGCACCUCGGUGAGACGGUUUUGCAGACACUUUGGUGUGGAGGGUGCAUACACUUCGGGGGAAGUGAGUAGCCCAUUGAUGAGGUUUUUGGUUAAGGUAUCUCGGAUGCUUGUGUUGCAGUUUAUGGGGGAGUGGAUCAGAAGCUGUAGGAAAGGACAACUUGAAGUAUCGGAUUACCCUUCAGUGGGUGGAGGGGGAGAUUGUUGAGCCCAGCCCAUCUGGAUGAGUCAAAGUCCAGUAGACAAGCCCAAGCCCGAUUGGAGUUCAUAGGAGUGUCCAUCGUGUGACGGUGAUGAAACUCUCGAGAUCUAGAACAACUUUUGAGAGUG
rnacentral:lncRNA from 1 species